rnacentral:rRNA from 1 species
AGUGAACGCUGGCGGUAGGCCUAACACAUGCAAGUCGAACGGCAGCACAGUAAGAGCUUGCUCUUACGGGUGGCGAGUGGCGGACGGGUGAGGAAUACAUCGGAAUCUACUUUUUCCCCCCCCCCCCCCCCCCCCCACCUCCCCUCACACCGCAUACCACCUACGGGUGCAAGCCGGGCACCUUCGGCCCUUGCGCGCUUCAAUGAGCCGAGGUCGGAUUAGCUAGUUGGCGGGGUAACGGCCCACCAAGGCGACGAGCCGUAGCUGGGCUGCGAGGAUGAUCAGCCACACUGGAACUGAGACACGGUCCAGACGCCUACGGGAGGCAGCAGUGGGGAAUAUUGGACAAUGGGCGCAAGCCUGAUCCAGCCAUACCGCGUGGGUGAAGAAGGCCUUCGGGUUGUAAAGCCCUUUUGUUGGGAAAGAAAAGCAGCAGGUUAAUACCCCGCUGUUCUGACGGUACCCAAAGAAUAAGCACCGGCUAACUUCGUG